rnacentral:rRNA from 1 species
AUGUCUGGCCAUAGGACGGCACUCCUGGCCGGCAGGCUCCAACCCCCUCCUCGGGCGCCGUCCCCCCAUCUCCUGUCUACCAAUUUCUCUUCUAUCUUGCAUCAUUGCGUCCAUCACCUCCUCCUUUCUAGGGCUGGAGUCGUCGUAAGGCAGCUUGACUGGUGUGUACGAUUGCUGGCGUUGCAUGGGAUGCGACGGCCAGAGUGUGUGCAGACUGCGGAAGCACGGCGACGUGGACGAGGAUGUGCGAUGUCGGCACAACAGGUCUGUACGGCUGUCGGCACCGACGCCGGUCUCGACGGCAUCCAACAUGUGCGGCGCCGGACAUGUGAAGGAGGUCUGGUGUCUGCUGGUGGACUACGUCUAUCCCAUCAGAGGCACGACUAUGGCGCGCUUCUCUCCAUGCUCGCCAACUUCGUAGCUUUAACGCCAGAUUAA